AAGCUUAGGUUAAACAAACCUGGGACCUUCAAAGCCCCGAACAAGAGCCAACCAACCCUCCUAGCUUCU
rnacentral:tRNA from 1 species